rnacentral:rRNA from 1 species
GAACCUGCGGAAGGAUCAUUAGUGAUUGCCUUAAUUGGCUUAAACUAUAUCCAUCUACACCUGUGAACUGUUUGAUUGAAUCUUCGGAUUCGAUUUUAUACAAACAUUGUGUAAUGAACGUCAUUAUAUUAUAACAAAAAAAACUUUCAACAACGGAUCUCUUGGCUCUCGCAUCGAUGAAGAACGCAGCGAAAUGCGAUAAGUAAUGUGAAUUGCAGAAUUCAGUGAAUCAUCGAAUCUUUGAACGCAACUUGCGCUCUCUGGUAUUCCGGAGAGCAUGCCUGUUUGAGUGUCAUGAAAUCUCAACCAUUAGGGUUUCUUAAUGGCUUGGAUUUGGAGGUUUGCCAGUCUGACUGGCUCCUCUUAAAAGAGUUAGCAAGUUGAACUAUUGCUAUCUGGCGUAAUAAGUUUCGCUGGAAUGGUAUUGUGAAGCGUGCUUCUAAUCGUCUUCGGACAAUUUUUGACUCUGCACUCAAAUGCAGUAGACACCC